AAACGACUCUCGGCAACGGAUAUCCCGGCUCUCGCAUUGAUGAAGAACGUAGCGAAAUGCGAUACUUGGUGUGAAUUGCAGAAUCCCGUGAACCAUCGAGUUUUUGAACGCAAGUUGCGCCCGAUGCCAUUAGGCUGAGGGCACGUCUGCCUGGGUGUCACGU
rnacentral:rRNA from 1 species